GUCUAUGGCCAUUGCCACCCUGAAUAAGCCUGAUCCCUUCUGAUCUCGGAAGCUUAAGCAGGGUCAGGCCUGGUUAGUACUUGUAUGGGAGACCACCUAGGAAGACCAGGUGCUAUAGGCG
rnacentral:rRNA from 1 species